rnacentral:rRNA from 1 species
AAAAGCCAAUGCAUGCUUUUACAGUAUGAAAAUUGGUGAUUUAUAAUAACUUAGCAAAUCGCAAAGUGAAAACAGGCGAUAAAUCAUUCAAGUUUCUGACCUAUCAGCUUUCGACGGUAUGGUAUUGGCUUACCGUGGCAGUGACGGUUAACGGGGGAUUAGGGUUCGAUUCCGGAGAGGGAGCCUGAGAAACGGCUACCACAUCUAAGGAAGGCAGCAGGCGCGCAAAUUACCCAAUUCUAACAGUUUGAGAGAGGUAGUAACAAGAAAUAACAAUACAAGGCAGUUAAAAUGCUUUGCAAUUGGAAUGAUAGAAAUUUAAACCCUUUUUAAAGUAUCAAUUGGAGGGCAAGUCUGGUGCCAGCAGCCGCGGUAAUUCCAGCUCCAAUAGCGUAUAUUAAAAUUGUUGCAGUUAAAAAGCUCGUAGUUGAAGUUCUGCUAAAAGUAACCGGUCUGCUUUGAAUAAAAGUGGUAUCUUGGUAUGUAUUUAGCAAUGAUGUCCUUUGAAGUGUUUUUUACUUUAUUGUAAUAAAGCAUAUUCAGGACUUUUACUUUGAGAAAAUUAGAGUGUUUCUAGCAGGCCAACGCUUUGAAUACUGCAGCAUGGAAAUAAUAAGA